ACCUUAGACAACGGAUGUCUUGGCUCCUCACACGAAGAAGAACGUUGCAUAAUGUGAUAAUUGGCUGGAGUAGCAACAUUACGACAAGUUCAAUCUUUGAAUGCACAUUGCGCCAGGGCUCCUCGGAGUGCUGGCAUAUCUGCGGCAGUAACCUUCU
rnacentral:rRNA from 1 species